UUACUACUCCCUCCGUUCCAAAAUUCUUGUCUUUGUUUUUUUCUAAAAAUGGAUGUAUGUAAAUACUAAAACAUGACUAGUUACAUUCAUAUGUAGACAAAUUUAAGAUAAGAAUUUUGAGACGGAGGGAGUAAUAC
rfam:Hordeum vulgare subsp. vulgare, WGS project CAJW01000000 data, contig: morex_contig_48852